rnacentral:rRNA from 1 species
CCCUUAGAUGUUCUGGGCUGCACGCGCGCUACACUGAAGCGUUCAACGAGUAUUCACCUUGCCCGGGAGGGUUGGGUAAUCUUUUGAAAACGCUUCGUGAUGGGGAUAGAUUAUUGCAAUUAUUAAUCUUCAACGAGGAAUUCCUAGUAAGCGCGAGUCAUCAGCUCGUGCUGAUUACGUCCCUGCCCUUUGUACACACCGCCCGUCGCUCCUACCGAUUGACUGAUCCGGUGAAUAAUUCGGACUGCAGCACUGCUUGGUCUCCAGGCUUUGCAGCGGAAAGUUUAGUGAACCUUACCACUUAGAGGAAGGAGAANUCGUAACA